rnacentral:misc_RNA from 1 species
UAAAACUAUAGCUACCAUGUCUGAUAGGUAUCGAAUUUUCAUUUUUUUCUUCAAAUAAAUGGAAUUUGUUUUCUGAUUUUAAUUAUUUAAGCAGGAUCGCAGUUUAUGGUGUUGCGUUUGAUUGGUUUGUUUUUGGAUCGUGGGUUAAGCUAUUGAAGGAAAGGGGUUGAUUGAGUUUUAAAUAUUGCGAGUUAAUGUAAUUUAAAUGACCGUGCCUGGUGCACUGCUUUCUGUUCUUCUGAGUUUAAAAACACAAAUCUGAGCAUUCCAUUGAUUUAUUGUUGCAAACUCAGAA